UUUAAUGUUGCCUUAUGCUGUCUGUGGGCUU
rnacentral:piRNA from 1 species